AAAGCACUUUCUUUUUUAAAGACCUUUUUUGAAGGUAUGCUUAAGGAGGGGCUUGCGACACAUUAGUUAGUUGGCAGGGUAAAGGCCUACCAAGACUAUGAUGUGUAGCUGGACUGAGAGGUUGAACAGCCACAUUGGGACUGAGACACGGCCCAAACUCCUACGGGAGGCAGCAGUAGGGAAUUUUCGGCAAUGGAGGAAACUCUGACCGAGCAACGCCGCGUGAACGAUGAAGUACCUCGGUAUGUAAAGUUCUUUUAUUAAGGAAGAAAAAAGAGUGGAAAAACUCCCUUGACGGUACUUAAUGAAUAAGCCCCGGCUAAUUAUGUGCCAGCAGCCGCGGUAAUACAUAAGGGGCGAGCGUUAUCCGGAAUUAUUGGGCGUAAAGGGUGCGUAGGCGGUUUAAUAAGUCUAUAGUUUAAUUUCAGUGCUUAACGCUGUUGUGCUAUAGAAACUGUUUUACUAGAGUGAGUUAGAGGCAAGCGGAAUUCCAUGUGUAGCGGUAAAAUGCGUAAAUAUAUGGAGGAACACCAGAGGCGUAGGCGGCUUGCUGGGACUUUACUGACGCUGAGGCACGAAAGCGUGGGGAGCAAACAGGAUUAGAUACCCUGGUAGUCCACGGCCGUAAACGNAUGAGUACUAAACAUUGGGUAAAACCAGUGUUGAAGUUAACACAUUAAGUACUCCGCCUGAGUAGUACGUACGCAAGUAUGAAACUUAAAGGAAUUGACGGGACUCCGCACAAGCGGUGGAUCAUGUUGUUUAAUUCGAAGGUACCCGAAAAACCUCACCAGGUCUUGACAUGCUUCUGCAAAGCUGUAGAAACACAGUGGAGGUUAUCAGUUGCACAGGUGGUGCAUGGUUGUCGUCAGCUCGUGUCGUGAGAUGUUGGGUUAAGUCCCGCAACGAGCGCAACCCUUAUUGUUAGUUACCAGCACGUAAUGGUGGGGACUUUAGCAAGACUGCCAGUGAUAAAUUGGAGGAAGGUGGGGACGACGUCAAAUCAUCAUGCCCCUUAUGACCUGGGCUACAAACGUGAUACAAUGGCUGUUACAAAGGGUAGCUGAAGCGCAAGUUUUUGGCGAAUCUCAAAAAAANCAGUCUACA
rnacentral:rRNA from 1 species